GACGAACGCUGGCGGCGUGCUUAACACAUGCAAGUCGAACGGAAAGGCCCUGCUUUUGUGGGGUGCUCGAGUGGCGAACGGGUGAGUAACACGUGAGUAACCUGCCCUUGACUUUGGGAUAACUUCAGGAAACUGGGGCUAAUACCGGAUAGGAGCUCCUGCUGCAUGGUGGGGGUUGGAAAGUUUCGGCGGUUGGGGAUGGACUCGCGGCUUAUCAGCUUGUUGGUGGGGUAGUGGCUUACCAAGGCUUUGACGGGUAGCCGGCCUGAGAGGGUGACCGGCCACAUUGGGACUGAGAUACGGCCCAGACUCCUACGGGAGGCAGCAGUGGGGAAUAUUGCACAAUGGGCGGAAGCCUGAUGCACCAACGCCGCGUGCGGGAUGACGGCCUUCGGGUUGCAAACCGCUUUCGCCUGUGACGAAGCGUGAGUGACGGUAAUGGGUAAAGAAGCACCGGCUAACUACGUG
rnacentral:rRNA from 1 species